rnacentral:rRNA from 1 species
UCGAAUGGGGAGAUUCAUCGUCAGCGAUUCUGGUACGUGUGCGGCUCGCGAUGUCCGAGACUUCGGUCUCGCGGCACGCGUCCGCAUGUUUUUUAUUGCUGGAAUCGUCGGCGUGCACUUCUCCCCUAGUAGGACGUCGCGACCCGUUGGGUGUCGGUCUACGGCACGGUAGGUAGCCUGUCACGUGUGCGCUUCACGGCGUUACGCGGGGCAGACCUCCGUUCGCCCGACCGGCUGCUCGGCGGUACUCGCAAGGUAUCUGGCCGCAGACAUACGAACUGCGUCCGGCCCGUCGCAAGCGCGGCAAGUGUUUCCCGGCUGUCACGGAUCUAAUGCCGUCACCGGGCCUUGCCAGCUGUUGGUUGACGGUGUCCUAGGACUGGCUAACAAAAUUAUGAUACCGGUCGGCGACGCUACUGCUUUGGGUACUUUCAGGACCCGUCUUGAAACACGGACCAAGGAGUCUAACAUGUGCGCGAGUCAUUGGGAGCUAUUAAGCCUAAAGGCGCAAUGAAAGUGAAGAUCGGCCUUGCGCCGAUCGAGGGAGGAUGGGCCGCGUCACGAUGCGGUCCCGCACUCCCGGGGCGUCUCGUUCUCAUUGCGAGAAGAGGCGCACCCAGAGCGUACACGUUGG